GAGGCGAAUCAGAUAUGAACCACGUUCGAAUCAUUGCCUCUGUUUGCCAGUAGUGCGAGGGAACGUCGUUACCGAGGUCCGAAUGCUUAAACUUUUUGUCGAACACAGGUUUACUGGUUCAGCUGCUGCAGCCUGGACACAAACACCAGCUCCCACCUUAGAAAGCAAACAGAGGCCUGGACUACGAAGGGAGUUUAAGCCACUCUGAUUUAACUCGGGUUAUCAAGGAACGUCGGGGUUGACAGACGUCGGCUGCCUCGAUCUGCGUUAACUACAGCGACGAUGAAGAUGUCGGUGUCUCCACUUCGUCCACGAUCAGAGAAUCUUUGUACAAUGAAGGAAUUGUUUAGACCAGGACAGAGGCCUCCAGAAUUCAAAGUGCAACCAUUAAAUCACAGAGAGAAGAGACAGACAUGAAGAUGUUUCCAGAAGGUCUCUGAAACGCCACCAGUGCCGUCAGUUUCACAAGAACAGCUUCUGACGUUGCGUAUCGACGGUUAUCCCGUAACGUCACGGAGUCUAGAGCGCUUGGACAGGUGUUCACAGAACCUGUAAACCAAAGCUGGGGCUCUCGCACUUUGUCUGCCUCAGGUAAGAUUGCAACUGGCAGUCCCUUUUCUUUUAGUGUUUGCAUUUGUUUGUACAGCGUCAAAAUGUACUGCCAAAGGUGAUCUUUAAGUGUCCAAGCUCAGCAGUAGUUGUCUUAUAUAGUAGUAUCAUGUCCAACAGACAGAAUCACUUCUGUCUCUAACUGACACUCCACUGAAAUCAACCCGACUCUACUGAUUUCAAAGGAGAAAACUUUUGACACUUUACUGUGACAUUGAGUAUUUUUAACUGUUUUCCAUGCGUUAUUAUACUAUGACAUUAUUUAAGUGUUGUUGGGUGUUUUUCCACUGUUUGUUAUGCCUUGCUGUACUAUUACAGUAUUUGAGUGUUUUUCCACUGUUUUUCCUGCAUUAUUGUACUAUGACAUUUUUUUUGACUGUUUAUGACUGUGUUUCAUGCCUUACUGUACUAUUACUGUUGGUUAUGCCUUACUCUACUAUGACCUUUUUUGAGUGUUUUUCAUGCAUUACUGUACUAUUAC